UAGUGGCGCACGGGUGCGUAACACGUAUGCAACCUACCUAUUAUUGGGGGAUAGCCUUUGGAAACGGAGAUUAAUACCGCAUAAUACGAUUGACUGGCAUCGGUUGAUUGUUAAAGCUUUGGCGAUAAUAGAUGGGCAUGCGUCCAAUUAGUUAGUUGGUUAGGUAACGGCUGACCAAGACGAUGAUUGGUAGGGGAUCUGAGAGGAUAAUCCCCCACACUGGCACUGAGAUACGGGCCAGACUCCUACGGGAGGCAGCAGUAGGGAAUAUUGGGCAAUGGGCGGAAGCCUGACCCAGCCAUGCCGCGUGCAGGAAGAAGGCGUUAUGCGUUGUAAACUGCUUUUUUAUAGGAAGAAGGAUCCCUUGCGAGGGAAGGUGACGGUACUAUAAGAAUAAGCACCGGCUAACUCCGUGCCAGCAGCCGCGGUAAUACGGAGGGUGCAAGCGUUGUCCGGAUUUAUUGGGUUUAAAGGGUGCGUAGGCGGUUUAUUAAGUCAGUGGUGAAAGACGGUCGCUCAACGAUUGCAGUGCCAUUGAUACUGGUAGACUUGAGUGAGAUUGAGGUAGCUGGAAUGGAUAGUGUAGCGGUGAAAUGCAUAGAUAUUAUCCAGAACACCGAUUGCGAAGGCAGGUUACUAAGUCUUAACUGACGCUGAGGCACG
rnacentral:rRNA from 1 species